GUGGGGAAUAUUGGACAAUGGGCGCAAGCCUGAUCCAGCCAUGCCGCGUGUGUGAAGAAGGCCUUUUGGUUGUAAAGCACUUUAAGCGAGGAGGAGGCUCCUUUAGUUAAUACCUAAAGAGAGUGGACGUUACUCGCAGAAUAAGCACCGGCUAACUCUGUGCCAGCAGCCGCGGUAAUACAGAGGGUGCGAGCGCUAAUCGGAUUUACUGGGCGUAAAGCGUGCGUAGGCGGCUUUUUAAGUCGGAUGUGAAAUCCCUGAGCUUAACUUAGGAAUUGCAUUCGAUACUGGAAAGCUAGAGUAUGGGAGAGGAUGGUAGAAUUCCAGGUGUAGCGGUGAAAUGCGUAGAGAUCUGGAGGAAUAUCGAUGGCGAAGGCAGCCAUCUGGCCUAAUACUGACGCUGAGGUACGAAAGCAUGGGGAGCAAACAGGAUUAGAAACCCGGGUAGUCC
rnacentral:rRNA from 1 species